UGGUUCAUCUGUGGUCUCCUUCAUCUUCCUACUUCUAUGGGACAUGUUUUUUGAAAAUAAAGUACAAAGAAAAAAUAAUAAGACUCAAAAGAAGAAGAGGGGCUACCCUACAGUUGAAAGAGAGCGAAUGAGGGAGAACUGGUAUCUAAAAAAGAUAGAUGAAAUCCUCCCAAGAGAUGAAAUAGAUACCUCUCUCACUUCGGCAAAGCUCCUCACUGUCUCCAACGA
rnacentral:lncRNA from 1 species